rnacentral:rRNA from 1 species
AGUGAACGCUGGCGGUAGGCCUAACACAUGCAAGUCGAACGGCAGCACAGUAAUAGCUUGCUCUUACGGGUGGCGAGUGGCGGACGGGUGAGGAAUACAUCGGAAUCUACUUUUUCGUGGGGGAUAACGUAGGGAAACUUACGCUAAUACCGCAUACGACCUACGGGUGAAAGCAGGGGAUCUUCGGACCUUGCGCGAUUCAAUGAGCCGAUGUCGGAUUAGCUAGUUGGCGGGGUAAAGGCCCACCAAGGCGACGAUCCGUAGCUGGUCUGAGAGGAUGAUCAGCCACACUGGAACUGAGACACGGUCCAGACUCCUACGGGAGGCAGCAGUGGGGAAUAUUGGACAAUGGGCGCAAGCCUGAUCCAGCCAUACCGCGUGGGUGAAGAAGGCCUUCGGGUUGUAAAGCCCUUUUGGUGGGAAAGAAAAGCAGCAGGUUAAUACCCCGCUGUUCUGACGGUACCCAAAGAAUAAGCACCGGCUAACUUCGUG